rfam:Triticum aestivum genome assembly, contig: Triticum_aestivum_CS42_TGACv1_scaffold_158033_2DL
CACCUACUCCCUCCGUCCGAAAAUAUUUGUCCUAAAAUGGUUGUAUCUAGACUUAUUUUAGUUAUAGAUACAUCCAUUUUCAACUAUUUUUAGGACAAGUACUUCCGAACAAAGGGAGUACUUA